rnacentral:rRNA from 1 species
GGUUAAGCGACUAAGCGUACACGGUGGAUGCCUAGGCAAUCAGAGGCGAUGAAGGACGUGCUAAUCUGCGAAAAGCGUCGGUAAGGUGAUAUGAACCGUUAUAACCGACGAUAUCCGAAUGGGGAAACCCAGUGCAAUUCGUUGCACUAUCGUUUGAUGAAUACAUAGUCAAACGAGGCGAACCGAGGGAACUGAAACAUCUCAGUACCUCGAGGAAAAGAAAUCAACCGAGAUUCCCCUAGUAGCGGCGAGCGAACGGGGAGCAGCCCAGAGUCUUAAUCAGCAUUAGCAUCAGGAGAACAGUCUGGAAAGGCUGGCAGUAAAGGGUGAUAGCCCCGUAUCCGAAGGUGUUAGUGUUGUGAACUCGACGAGUAGGGCGGGACACGUGUUAUCCUGUCUGAAUAUGGGGGGACCAUCCUCCAAGGCUAAAUACUCCUGAUUGACCGAUAGUGAACCAGUACCGUGAGGGAAAGGCGAAAAGAACCCCGGCGAGGGGAGUGAAAUAGAACCUGAAACCGUGUACGUACAAGCAGUGGGAGCACCCUUCGGGGUGUGACUGCGUACCUUUUGUAUAAUGGGUCAGCGACUUAUAUUCUGUAGCAAGGUUAACCGAAUAGGGGAGCCGUAGGGAAACCGAGUCUUAACUGGGCGAAUGAGUUGCAGGGUAUAGACCCGAAACCCGGUGAUCUAGCCAUGGGCAGGUUGAAGGUUGGGUAACACUAACUGGAGGACCGAACCGACUAAUGUUGAAAAAUUAGCGGAUGACUUGUGGCUGGGGGUGAAAGGCCAAUCAAACCGGGAGAUAGCUGGUUCUCCCCGAAAGCUAUUUAGGUAGCGCCUCGUGAACUCAUCUUCGGGGGUAGAGCACUGUUUCGACUAGGGGGUCAUCCCGACUUACCAACUCGAUGCAAACUACGAAUACCGAAGAAUGUUAUCACGGGAGACACACGGCGGGUGCUAACGUUCGUCGUGAAGAGGGAAACAACCCAGACCGCCAGCUAAGGUCCCAAAGUCAUAGUUAAGUGGGAAACGAAGUGGGAAGGCUCAGACAGCCAGGAUGUUGGCUUAGAAGCAGCCAUCAUUUAAAGAAAGCGUAAUAGCUCACUGGUCGAGUCGGCCUGCGCGGAAGAUGUAACGGGGCUAAACUAUGCACCGAAGCUGCGGCAGCGAACGUAUCACUUAAACUGAUUAAGUGAUGCACGAAAGUAUCAAAACGAUUGACGGAGCAAAGCGACGUCAAUGCGUCCAACAAAGUCGAGGCGGAACACGCACGACAAGUCAGUUUAAGGAUACGUUCGUUGGGUAGGGGAGCGUUCUGUAAGCCUGUGAAGGUGUACUGUGAGGUAUGCUGGAGGUAUCAGAAGUGCGAAUGCUGACAUAAGUAACGAUAAUGCGGGUGAAAAACCCGCACGCCGGAAGACCAAGGGUUCCUGUCCAACGUUAAUCGGGGCAGGGUGAGUCGACCCCUAAGGCGAGGCAGAAAUGCGUAGUCGAUGGGAAACGGGUUAAUAUUCCCGUACUGGUGAUAAUUGCGAUGGGGGGACGGAGAAGGUUAGGCUGGCCGGGCGACGGUUGUCCCGGUUUAAGGAUGUAGGCAGGUGAAUUAGGCAAAUCCGGUUCACUACAUGCUGAGGUCUGAUGACGAGCCACUACGGUGGUGAAGUAGCUCAUACCCCGCUUCCAGGAAAAGCCUCUAAGCUCUAGAUUAUCAUUAAUCGUACCCCAAACCGACACAGGUGGUCAGGUAGAGAAUACUCAGGCGCUUGAGAGAACUCGGGUGAAGGAACUAGGCAAAAUGGUGCCGUAACUUCGGGAGAAGGCACGCUGGCGCUAGGUGAAGUGGUUUACCCAUGGAGCUGAAGCCAGUCGCAGAUACCAGCUGGCUGCAACUGUUUAUUAAAAACACAGCACUGUGCAAACACGAAAGUGGACGUAUACGGUGUGACGCCUGCCCGGUGCUGGAAGGUUAAUUGAUGGGGUUAUCCGUAAGGAGAAGCUCUUGAUCGAAGCCCCAGUAAACGGCGGCCGUAACUAUAACGGUCCUAAGGUAGCGAAAUUCCUUGUCGGGUAAGUUCCGACCUGCACGAAUGGCGUAAUGAUGGCCAGGCUGUCUCCACCCGAGACUCAGUGAAAUUGAACUCGCUGUGAAGAUGCAGUGUACCCGCGGCAAGACGGAAAGACCCCGUGAACCUUUACUAUAGCUUGACACUGAACAUUGAGCCUUGAUGUGUAGGAUAGGUGGGAGGCUUUGAAGCGUGGACGCCAGUCUGCGUGGAGCCAACCUUGAAAUACCACCCUUUAAUGUUUGAUGUUCUAACGUUGCCCCGUAAUCCGGGGUGCGGACAGUGUCUGGUGGGUAGUUUGACUGGGGCGGUCUCCUCCCAAAGAGUAACGGAGGAGCACGAAGGUUGGCUAAGCAUGGUCGGACAUCAUGCGGUUAGUGCAAAGGCAUAAGCCAGCUUGACUGCGAGAGUGACGGCUCGAGCAGGUACGAAAGUAGGUCUUAGUGAUCCGGUGGUUCUGAAUGGAAGGGCCAUCGCUCAACGGAUAAAAGGUACUCCGGGGAUAACAGGCUGAUACCGCCCAAGAGUUCAUAUCGACGGCGGUGUUUGGCACCUCGAUGUCGGCUCAUCACAUCCUGGGGCUGAAGUAGGUCCCAAGGGUACGGCUGUUCGCCGUUUAAAGUGGUACGCGAGCUGGGUUUAGAACGUCGUGAGACAGUUCGGUCCCUAUCUGCCGUGGGCGUUGGAAGAUUGAAAGGGGCUGCUCCUAGUACGAGAGGACCGGAGUGGACGCACCACUGGUGUUCGGGUUGUCAUGCCAAUGGCAUUGCCCGGUAGCUAAGUGCGGAAAAGAUAACCGCUGAAAGCAUCUAAGCGGGAAACUUGCCUUGAGAUGAGUCUUCCCUGACCCUUUAAGGGUCCUAAAGGAACGUUUAAGACUAAGACGUUGAUAGGUUGGGUGUGUAAGCGUAGCGAUACGUUGAGCUAACCAAUACUAAUGAACCGUGAGGCUUAACCUG